rnacentral:SRP_RNA from 1 species
GCUGGGCGUGGUGGCGCAUGCCCGUAAUCCCAGCUAUUUGGGAGGCUGAGGCAGGAGAAUAGCUUGAACCCGGGAAGCAGGGGAUGCAGUGAGCUGAGACUCGCCACUGCACUCUAGCCUGGGUGACAGAGCAAGACUCUGUCUCAA